rnacentral:rRNA from 1 species
AUGGGGAGGCACAAGUUCCGGCUGUCGGACAUGAUCCCCAACGCGUGGUUCUUCAAGCUGCGCGACAUGCGCGGCGCUGUACGGGGCGGGGGUGGGGGCGCUGCCAGCCCCGGCGGGGCGUCGCGGGCGGGCAGGGCCGGCCGGGCGCCGAGCACGCCGCACAGGGCGUCCUACUACUACACGCCGAGGGCCGGGGACGCCGUGGGGUCCCCGCUCCACCCUCCCAGGGCCUCGGACGCGCAGUUCCCGCCGCUGCCGCUGUCGCCGCCGCGGCGCUCGUCCAAGCGGCGCCACCGGAGGCGCUCCGUCAAGCUGGCGCCGUCGGCCAGCGGCAGCAGCGUCGUCUCCUCGCCGGUCUCCACCGGGUGCCGCUGCAGGCGCAAGCCCGAGCUCGUGGUGGUCCAGGCGCCCGACACCCCGCCGUGCCGCCUCGACAACUUCGUCGGCUACGACGACUCGGGUGACGAGACUCUCAAGAAGCCGACGGUCGCCGUGCUGGGCGACGGCGGGCUGGGCGGCAAGCUGAUCACCUCCGCGACGGACAUCAUCAUCGACCUGCGGACCAAGAAGAGGCCCGACACCGACAGGGUGCUGCUCCCGCCGAUCGUGACCAGGCCGAAGCCAGCGCGGAGGACGCCCGAGGAGCUCCUCGAUCUCGAGGACAAGCACAUCGACACCCUCGCGCGCGCGGCCCAACGGGCCACCACGCCUUUCUCGGACGAACAAAGCAAGGCCGCCAAACCGAGGCGGUCCGUGUCAUCGUCGGCGCGCCGGCUCAAGACGCGCGGGAACACGCCCCGCGUGGCGUCCUGCAAGAAGUCCAAGCCUCCCGCGCCCUCGCCGGCGCCCGCGCGGGAGAAGACGCCGCCUCUGGCGGAGAGCUUCGCGGUGGUGAAGACGUCGCGGGACCCGAGGCGGGACUUCCGCGAGUCCAUGGAGGAGAUGAUCGCGGAGAACGGCAUCCGCACCGCCGCCGACCUGGAGGACCUGCUGGCGUGCUACCUCUCCCUCAACGCCGCCGAGUACCACGACCUCAUCGUCGACGUGUUCGAGCAUAUCUGGGCCGGCCUCGCGGACAUCAGCAUGUAG